rnacentral:rRNA from 1 species
ACGAACGCUGGCGGCGUGCCUAAUACAUGCAAGUAGAACGCUGAAGGAGGAGCUUGCUUCUCUGGAUGAGUUGCGAACGGGUGAGUAACGCGUAGGUAACCUGCCUGGUAGCGGGGGAUAACUAUUGGAAACGAUAGCUAAUACCGCAUAAGAGUAGAUGUUGCAUGACAUUUGCUUAAAAGGUGCAAUUGCAUCACUACCAGAUGGACCUGCGUUGUAUUAGCUAGUUGGUGGGGUAACGGCUCACCAAGGCGACGAUACAUAGCCGACCUGAGAGGGUGAUCGGCCACACUGGGACUGAGACACGGCCCAGACUCCUACGGGAGGCAGCAGUAGGGAAUCUUCGGCAAUGGACGGAAGUCUGACCGAGCAACGCCGCGUGAGUGAAGAAGGUUUUCGGAUCGUAAAGCUCUGUUGUAAGAGAAGAACGAGUGUGAGAGUGGAAAGUUCACACUGUGACGGUAUCUUACCAGAAAGAGACGGCUAACUACGUG